rnacentral:sRNA from 1 species
GCCAGGCAUGGUGGCUCAUGCCUGUAAUUCCAGUGACUCUGGAGGCUGAGGCAGGAGGAUCACAGGUUUAAGGCCAGUCUCAGAAAUUUAGUGAGACCCUGUCUUAA